AAUGUAAAUGUGGAGAACACUUAUUCUUUCCUCUUGUUGCUUGUUGUUUCUUAUUUAAGAAACAGUUAUCUGUAUUUGAGUUAGUAUAGUAACUGUUCGUGGGACUGAAAUUGCCGCUUUGCCAGAAAUCAGACUAUAGAAGUAUUUUUAGCUCUUUGUACUGCUUAAAAGCCUGGUUGACUGCCAUUAUGACUUCCAAGGUGGAAAGCAUUCCUCUUGUUAGUGUAAGUUAAAUGGCUAAUGGAUUUGGGUUUUUUUUGGCAUUUUGAAAUCUAGGUAUUUUACUUUGGAAGUUGAUGUAAGAGGCAAAUCAAUUCAGAAUACUGGGAUAUGGUUCAGUUUCUUAUGAAGUUAGGUUGAUGAGUGGAUGUGUGGUAAUCCCUACCUCUGCUGUCUUCUCAUUGUAGACCUGCGUGCAUCUUUUUACCUAAUUUUUCA